AAGUAGCUGUAGUUUUAGUCACCAUAUGUAUUGAAAACAAGCAAGUGUUGAUCCGAACAAAUUUCCGAGAGAAAAAUGCAUCGCUUCGAGAACAAACGGAAUCGUUAAACAUGCCGACAUUUUUGAAAACGUUAUUCGACCUCUUGGCGAAAAAAUUAGGGGGAGAUGUUCUCGAAGGUGACACAGACGAAAACGAAAUAAAGGAGCUGUUUGUUUCUACCAAUUCGACGGAACAGUUUGUACCUUCGCCUGCCCUUUCGACGCCGUCCUGCGUUUCCAUCGACUUUUCCGACAGCGACAUUGUCCUGUGUCGUACCCCUGAAACGUACAGCCUUCAGUACGCCCAGCAAGGCUUCCUGAAAAAGGCUUUGAAGAAGGAGGAGGCCACCCAUAUGAAAUGGGUGGAGCAGAUUGGCAGGAACAAACGUACGAACGACGACAUCAGUCGGCGAAGCAGUAUCGUAUUCGGUUCCCAAGAUUGCACCGUUCAAUGAGGUAGAAGCGUGGUCCCUUUUUCGCUUUGUUUCUUGUAGCCUGAAGUGAUUUUUUUAUGAGUUCCAAAAGGGGAACAUAUGUUACACUUCAGUCAAAUGAUGCAAGGAAAAUUCGUUUGUUAAGUUUCAAAGUAUUACACCCUCACACACGUGUUAAAGCAUAAUGAAAGCCGGAUUCGAUUCUACAAUUUCGAGACCCAAAAUGACCUCGAAAUCUGAGAGCAUAAAGGAGAUCUUUCUGCAGGAAUGCAAAGCCGUCGUUUCUCCUAAGAGAUCGACACCUUCUUUCGUUUCGCUCAACGACGACAGCGACGCAGAAGGUUUGCAGCUGAAGGCGACACUCUCCAUAGAAAGCAUACACCAAAUCGAGGACCGUCUGCUGACUCUGCAGUAUGAAAACAAGCGGCUGGAGAGGGACAGGCGCAUUCUGAACCACAAGGAAGGAUCUCUAAGGAACUUCGUCCACGAUGCGAAUGCGACCGACCACGCCGAAGCACACGAAUUGCUGGAUGCCGAAGAGAAAUGCAAAGAAAACGUGGCCGCCGAAACGCCUCCAGAAAAAAACGAAUCGAAAACAUUCAUUCCGGAAUUAGAAGAACAAUAAUGUGCUGUACGAAGUGAUUGAGUCAAAAACCGGAUCAGCGCUUUAUUAAUUACAGGCUGAAACAUGUGUGAAUAUACAUUCCAAAAAACACAUUUAAAAACAAACAUGUUAAAACAGCAGUUCUU
rnacentral:lncRNA from 1 species